UACGGAGGGUGCAAGCGUUAUUCGGAAUUACUGGGCGUAAAGCGUGCGCAGGCGGUUUGUUAAGUCUGUUGUGAAAUCCCCGAGCUCAACUUGGGAAUUGCAAUGGAUACUGGCAGGCUGGAGUAUGGUAGAGGAAGGUGGAAUUCCCGGUGUAGCAGUGAAAUGCGUAGAGAUCGGGAGGAACACCAGUGGCGAAGGCGGCCUUCUGGACCGAUACUGACGCUCAUGCACGAAAGCGUGGGGAGCAAACAGG
rnacentral:rRNA from 1 species